UUGGCUUUUAGUUCACUAGGACAUUGAAACCUGGAUUAAUCAGUCCCUUAAAAGUGCCCCAGGGCAAUUACAACCUGUCCCAUGUUAAUGUUUGUUUUGACUGCUGGUUAGGCCAUCUAGGGCUAUAAAUGCUUUUCCAUAUGGGUGUGCACAGUGUGUGGGUGGGUGGUGGAAACAUCAUCUCUUUGUACUAAUGACAUAUUGUUAACAUUGGUUAGGAGCUUCCUAAUGUGUAAAUUUCCUUUUAAAAUGUGGUCACUUGAUUGACAGCUUCUUUUGUUUAAAAAACAAAACUGCCACAGAUUCUUUUUGUCUGGGCCCUGCCUGUUUUCUCUGUGUGAAGAACUGUGUAGUAGUAGCUAUGAUGCUAUGCAAUCAUAAUCUCUAGAAUUAAAAAAAAAUCUAAAACAA